UCCAGGGUAGCCUAGUGGUCAUGGCAUCUGCCCUGUAAGCGGAAGGUCGUGGGUUCGAUUCCCAUCCCUUGAAA
rnacentral:tRNA from 1 species